UCGAGGAUCUUCGGCAAUGGGCGCAAGCCUGACCGAGCGACGCCGCGUGCGCGAUGAAGGCCUUCGGGUUGUAAAGCGCUGUCGAGGGGGAGGAAGGCCCGCAAGGGCUUGACCUAUCCCUGGAGGAAGCACGGGCUAAGUUCGUGCCAGCAGCCGCGGUAAGACGAACCGUGCGAACGUUGUUCGGAUUCACUGGGCUUAAAGGGCGCGUAGGCGGGUCGGUCCGUCUGGGGUGAAAUCCUCUCGCUUAACGAGAGAACGGCCCUGGAUACCACCGAUCUCGAGGGAGGUAGGGGCAUGUGGAACUUCCGGUGGAGCGGUGAAAUGCGUAGAUAUCGGAAGGAACGCCGGUGGCGAAAGCGACGUGCUGGACCUUUUCUGACGCUGAGGCGCGAAAGCCAGGGGAGCAAACGG
rnacentral:rRNA from 1 species